rnacentral:snRNA from 1 species
ACGACGUAAACCUAAAGUCCAGGGCCUUCAUUAAGACCCGAAGUAAAAUUUUUGCAGGCCCGUUUUGAGAUCGGGCU